rnacentral:tRNA from 1 species
GGCGGCUCAGUGGUAAGAGCACUUGCCUUGCAUGCAUGAGGCCCUGGGUUCGAUUCCUCAGCACCA